UGAGGUAGUAGGUUGUAUAGUUUUAGGGUCAUACCCGCAACUGGGAGAUAACUAUACAAUCUACUGUCUUUC
rnacentral:pre_miRNA from 2 species